GAAAUGCGAUAAGUAAUGUGAAUUGCAGAAUUCAGUGAAUCAUCGAAUCUUUGAACGCACCUUGCGCUCCUUGGUAUUCCUUGGAGCAUGCCUGUUUGAGUAUCAUGAAAUCUUCAAAGUAAAUCUUUUGUUAACUCAAUUGGUUUCUACUUUGGUAUUGGAGGUCUUUGCAGCUUCACACCUGCUCCUCUUUGUUCAUUAGCUGGAUCUCAGUGUUAUGCUUGGUUCCACUCGGCGUGAUAAGUUAUCUAUCGCUUAGGACACUGUAAAAGGUGGCCAAGGUAAAUGCAGAUGAACCGCUUCUAAUAGUCCAUUGACUUGGACAAUACUUUUAUGAUCUGAUCUCAAAUCAGGUAGGACUACCCGCUGAACUUAAGC
rnacentral:misc_RNA from 1 species